rnacentral:rRNA from 1 species
AGCGAACGCUGGCGGCAGGCCUAACACAUGCAAGUCGAACGAACCCUUCGGGGUUAGUGGCGGACGGGUGAGUAACACGUGGGAACGUGCCUUUAGGUUCGGAAUAACUCAGGGAAACUUGUGCUAAUACCGAAUGUGCCCUUCGGGGGAAAGAUUUAUCGCCUUUAGAGCGGCCCGCGUCUGAUUAGCUAGUUGGUGAGGUAAUGGCUCACCAAGGCUACGAUCAGUAGCUGGUCUGAGAGGAUGACCAGCCACAUUGGGACUGAGACACGGCCCAAACUCCUACGGGAGGCAGCAGUGGGGAAUCUUGCGCAAUGGGCGAAAGCCUGACGCAGCCAUGCCGCGUGGAUGAUGAAGGUCUUAGGAUUGUAAAAUUCUUUCACCGGGGACGAUAAUGACGGUACCCGGAGAAGAAGCCCCGGCUAACUUCGUGCCAGCCGCCGCAGUAAAAC